rnacentral:tRNA from 1 species
AGUCUUAUAGUCAAACUAAAAAAAUGAUUUUAAAUUGCAAAUUUGAAGGUGGGUAAUCCCUAAGGCUU